rnacentral:tRNA from 4 species
GGGCCGUUAGCUCAGUUGGUAGAGCAGUGGACUUUUAAUCCAUGGGUCGUCGGUUCGAGACCGACACGGCCUA